AAUACUUAAACACAAUGGGCAAAAUUAAACGUGAGUCUCCCACACACUCAUCAUUGCCCAAGUUCGCCAUUCUUAACUCAAAAUGACUUAAACCUCACUGAACACACCGGCAGCCUUAAAUCAACCUUCCACAGAUUAAUGGCUUAAAUCCUUCGGCCGGAUUCUACAUUAAUUAACCGCCAAAAUACCAAACUUUGGAAAUUCACAAACCUAUCCAAAGCUCAUCCGAAAAUUCCAUAAUUCACUUCAAUAAACUCCCCUUAAUAUUCCAAAUUUAAAAACAUUAAAAUCUCUCAACCAGCGCCAACCCCGCCGGCAGCAGCGGCCGGAGGCCGAUUCCAACGACCUCUAAUUCCUAUGAAAUUUUGACAGAAUAAUCCUCUCAUCAUGCUCUACAACUUUCUUAACUAGCACAAACCCAAAAUCCAAGCCUAGCUAUGCCAAUCGAACAAAAACAUCAAAAACACCCUAGAACUUCCACCUCAAAUUUCUCCUUACCUGAAGCGAACCGGAGUAAGUCCUUUUAGGGCAAGGUAGCUGGGUUAGAGACCUACAAAACCAUACCAAGCUUGCCCGGAUUGGUGGCCGGAGGAGGGAGUUCCGGCAAAGGAGAGCUGUCAGCGUUUCCGGCGGUUUUCUCCUCUCCGGCGACGCUAUAGGCUUGGACGCUAGGCCGAGAAGAGAGAGGAGACGGCGGGGCUCCGAACUGGGCUGGAGCGGCUGUUGGUGGCUGGCCAGACGACGGCAGGCGACGGCUGGAAGUCCGACGGGGAGAGAGAGCUUGGGAGGGAGAACCGGGAAGAAUAGAAGGAAAAGAAAAAGAGAAGAGGGAAAUGGGCCUCUAACACCCGGUCCAACAACCUAUAUACCCACUCCACAACAAACCCAACUCCAAAAAUAAAACACCCGAAAAAAAAUACCAUAAUAAAAAUUACCUUUUACUAGCUAAAAUUUACCAUUUUUACCGUCAUCAUAUUUUUCUCCUACGAAUAACUCUCCGAAAUAAUCAUCCCCUAAAACCCCUCUAGGGACCAAUUAAACUAUACCUCAAUGACGGAGACGGUAAAAUUCUUAUUAUAACCAAGCUAGUAAAUAAGGUAAAAAUUUAAGGGUCGGGAUGUGACAAUUCUCCCCUCAUAAAAAUUUCGUCCUUGAAAUUUACAUACUUGUCAUUCGAAGAGAUAGGGAUACUACUGCAUCAUUUGCUCCUCUGAUUCCCAAGUAGCUUCUUCUACUUGAUGACUUCUCCAAAGCACCUUGACAAGUGGGUUUGUCUUGUUCCUGAGCACUUGCUCCUUUCGAUCAAGAAUCUGCACCGGAUCCUCUUCAUAAGACAAAUCUUUCGUCAAACUGAUCGGCUGCUCUUGCAGCACAUGAAAAGGAUCGGCAAUAUACUUGUGAAACAUGGAUACAUAAAACACAUUAUGUAUCCUAGAUAACUCUGGAGGCAAGGCUAAUCGAUAAGCAAGUGAGCCAACUCGCUCUAUUAUCUCAUAUGGGCCAAUAUACCUCGGACUAAGCUUCCACGCUUAUCAAAACGUACUACCCCUUUCCCAGGCGAUAGUUUCAAGAACACUCAAUCACCCACUUGAAAUUGAAGGUCUUUCCUACAGACAUCUGCAUAACUCUUCUGCCUACUUUGAGCGGCUUGAGUCUAUCUCUAACCAUUUUAAUCUUCUCAUUCGUAACAUGGACUAACUCUGGGCCACAAAGCUCUUUUUCCCCUACUUCAUUCCAACACAAAGGCGUACGACACUGCCUCCCAUAAAAAGCCUCAAAAGGAGCCAUACCAAUGCUAGAAUGAAAGCUAUUAUUAUAGGCAAAUUCCAUCAAAGAUAGGUUUUUAUCCCAACUCCCUCUGAACUGCAAGGCACAAGCCCUCAACAUAUCCUCCAAAGUCUGAAUAGUCCUCUCGGACUGCCCAUCAGUCUGAGGAUGAAAAGCAGUGCUGAAGAGUAAUUGGGUACCUAAAGCUGCAUGAAGAGCUCCCCAGAAUUUAGAAGCAAAUCUAGGAUCCUGAUCUGACACUAUUGAUUCAGGAACACCAUGAAGCCUCACAAUUUCAUUCACAUAAAGCUCGGCCAAUUUAUCCAAUUUAUACUUCUUUCUCACUGGCAAGAAAUGUGCAGACUUAGUGAGUCGAUCCACAAUCACCCAAAUACCGUCAUGCCCUUCACGGGUACGAGGUAAACUGAAAACAAAAUCCAUGGUGAUGUGGUCCCACUUCCACACUGGAAUAGGCAAUGGCUCAAGCAAUCCAGAAGGCUUCUGCCUUUCAACUUUUACUUGCUGACAAAUCAGACAUCUACUCACAUAAGCUGCAAUUUCCCUCUUCAUGUUUGGCCACCAAUAAUAAUCCAUCAAAAUCCGAUACAUUUUUGUGCUACCCGGAUGAGCAGCAUAAGCGGAACUAUGAGCUUCCUCCAUAAUCUCACUCUUCAACUCUUUAUUUCUUUUUGGAACACAUAACUGGUUCUUAAACAAUAGAGUCUCAUCUCUUCUAACUGAAAAAUGAUCGGCUGCGGCUCCAUUCGAAGCUCUUUCCAUCAAUCGAACUAUGGAAGGAUCAUUAUUCUGUGCUUCCCGCACUUUAUCAACCAACACUGGCCUCACAUGAAAACUGGGUACCAAAGCACCAACCUCAUCUACUGCUAAAUCCACCCAUGUAGCUCGCAACUCACAACGAAGCGGAACACGAACCAUCUUUAUAUGAGAUAAAGAUAUGGAGGGAUUUCGACUAAGAGCAUCAGCUACCACAUUAGCUUUUCCAGGAUGAUACUCAAUAAUGCAAUCAUAAUCAUUGAUUAACUCCAUCCACCUUCUCUGUCUCAUAUUUAGCUCUCUUUGAGUGAACACAUACCGAAGACUCUUGUGAUCGGUAAAAAUCUGACACUUGGCUCCAUAAAGAUAGUGUCUCCACAAUUUGAGAGCAAAAACUACCGCUGCAAGCUCCAGAUCAUGAGUAUGAUAAUUCCUCACAUGCGGCUUCAAUUGCCUAGAAGCGUAGGCAAUAACUCGAUCAUGCUGCAUCAAAACUCCACCUAGACCAUGUCUAGAAACAUCACAAUAGAUCAUAUACUCUCCACUAUCAUCCGGAAGUGCCAAAACAAGAGCACUUGUCAAGCAAUUCUUCAAUUCUUGAAAACUUUGCUUACAUUGAUCUGACCAUUCAAACUUAACCCCCUUUCUGGUCAAUCUUGUAAGAGGAGCAGCAAUCUUUGAAAAAUCUUUCACAAAGCGCCGAUAAUAACCUGCUAAUCCCAAGAAACUACGAAUCUCCGUCACAGUGGUGGGUCUUCUCCAAUUUGACACUGCUUCCACCAUUUGGGGAUCCACACUAACUCCUUCUACCGAAACCACAUGACCCAAGAACCCCACUUUAUCUAGCCAAAACUCACACUUGCUAAACUUAGCAUAUAACUGCGAAUUUUUCAAAGUCCGCAAUAUUAUUCUUAGAUGCUUGGCAUGCUCCUUCUCACUUCUUGAGUAAACCAAGAUGUCAUCUAUGAAUACGAUCACGAAACGAUCAAGAUAUGGACUAAACACCCUAUUCAUGAGAUCCAUGAACGUCGCGGGUGCAUUAGUAAGUCCAAAUGGUAUCACCACAAACUCAUAAUGACCAUAUCGUGACCGAAAAGCAGUCUUGGCUAUGUCCCCCUCUUGGAUCUGCAACUGAUGAUAACUCGAUCUCAAGUUAAUCUUAGAGAAAAUAGAGGCACCCCUCAACUAAUCAAAUAAAUCAUCGAUCCGAGGCAACGGAUAUUUAUUCUUCACUAUGACCUGAUUCAACUUCUUAUAAUCAAUGCAUAGUUUCAUGGUGCCGUCUUUCUUCUUAACAAACAACACCGGAGCACCCCAUGGAGACAUACUAGGCCGAAUAAAACCUUUGUCUACCAACUCCUGCAAUUGAGUCUUCAACUCUUUCAAUUCCGCUGGAGCCAUUCUGUAAGGUGCCUGAGAGAUAGGCAUAGUUCCGGGAAGUAAUUCUAUAGAGAAGUCUAUCUCCCUUACAGGAGGCAAACCAGGUAACUCCUCAGGAAAAACAUCCGAAAACUCCCUUACAACAGGAAUAUCUUCUAAUCCCACAACUCCCAUACUUGAAUCCACCACAUGAGCUAAAUAUGCCUGACAGCCUUUACUCAAAAAUUUUCUUUGCAGCAACAUCAGAAAUUAUGCAACUAGAAAUAACAUCUCUUUCCCCUUGGAAAGCAACCUCAAAACCAUCUGGACUUCGAAGCACCAUUACUUUCUGAUAACAAUCUAGCAUAGCUCUAUAUGCUUCCAAAAAGUUCAUUCCCAAGAUCACAUCAAACUCUACUAUAUCUAAAAGAAUUAAAUCAGCCUCGAAAUUAACUCAUUCCACUAAAACUUCACAACCACUAAACACCCAAUUUAUUCUCAUCACCUCACCGGAGGGUAGAGACACAUGCCACUCGCCUGGAAGAGACGAUGAUGGCACAUUGGCAUGAGGGCAAAUCUACUAGACAUGAAUGAAUGCGUGGCUCCGAGAUCAAUUAAAGUAAAUGCAGGCUGACCAAAAUUUAAUAACGUACCAAUGAUGACAUCUGGAGAAGUACGACCUUGCUACUGGGUCAUAGCAUGCAGUCUAGCGCGAGUCAUGGGACGUCCACGCUGACCACCACCUCACUGAGAGCCACCUCUGACCGAAGCACUGCCUUGGGCACCACUACUAGAGCCCCUAGCUGAAGACUGACCAACUGGCUGAGUAGGGGUGGGGGUGGUCCUCUGAGCCAACAAUGGACAAUCUCUCCUGAAGUGGUCCUGACCACCACACUCAAAGCACCCAGAAAACUGUUGCUGCCCAUAAGAAAAAGUCUAGCUACCGGAUGACCCACCAUGGAAGCUACCACCAGAACCAUACUGCCCAGACUGCUGCCUACCCAAAUGACUCUGAGAAGGUCUCCUGAAACGUCCUCUAGUCCUGUUUCGAGCACCAGAGCUCGAUCCCCCACUACUACCACUACCAGCAGAAGACCCAGAAGCAGAUGAUGAAGCAGCCUUCUUGGAUGGACCCUGACUAGGGCCACCGUAAUCACGGGGCCAAACACCAUAUGUCCCCCUGGACUCAAUGGCCAUAGCUGCACCAACUGCAUCCGUAAAGGUCGGGUAAAUUACCCCUGUCAUCUUGUCCGCAUACACCCCACCAAGUGCCCCAAUGAAUAUCUCAAUCCUGGUCUUCUCAUCAGGAACCAAAUAGGACACAUGGUAGCUCAGGAAAGUGAAUCUUUCCUGGAACUCAAUGAUACCCUCAUCAUCCCUCUUCGUCAUAUGCAGGAAAUCCGACUGAAUUCUACUACGGUGGGCAUGAUUGAAAUAUUGCCCCAAGAAGAGAGUCUUAAACUGCUCCCACGACAUAUUCAGCGCAUCCUCAACAUUCCUGCUGGUAAGCGACCACUAGUGAUGUGCUGAAUCAUCCAGAAAAGUCAUUGCCAUCUUCACCUUUCUUUCUUCUGGCAACUCAGUGCUCGCAAAAGCAUUUUCCACCUUGUCCACCCAAUUGUGAGCAUUAAGAGGUCCCUUGGCACCCUUGAACUCUCUGGCUCCAGCAUCAUAAACUUCUCUCCUUUUCUCCGUAGGAGGGCGUGGAGCUCGAUCCAUGACAUCCCUCAACAUAUUACCAAUAUCAUCAACCAGUCCCCUGACCUCAUUGCCCUCAUCGGCAUUAGUCGAAAUAGCCACACGGGGUUGCCGUGGGCGCCUAGGAGGCAUAGUACCUGAGGAAGAAGAUAUUUAGUAGUCCAUAAACAAGACUAAUACAAUUAUCACACAUUCCCAAUAACACAUAACAUCAAAAGCAUAAAAUGCCAAUGAAUCCGUCGCGGUCGGAUCAUCACUCUAUAGACACUACGUGCUACUUAAGCAAAUAUGAUAGUGACAAGGAAGCAGGAAAAGGAAACCUAAAGCUCUGAUACCAACUGACACGACCCACCCCGAAUUUCACCCUGAAACCCGGAGUAAGUCGUGCGGGGACCACCUCCAAAGAAGAUAUUACCGAAAAUUCGACAUAACCUCUCUUGAAAAUGGACAAGCCUUCCUAAGGAAACAUGCAAACACUUCCAAUAUUUUCAAUCCAACCUUAACUCCUGGAGCCUACGUGCUCCCCAAACACAACCACCACCAACAACAACAACCAAUAUUAUCCAAACAUCAAAAAUAUAAUUAUCCAAAGAAGAUAACAUAAAUCCUCCAACAAAUAUUUUAAAAUGUCAACAUGCCUUCGCUCACAACCGAAAUAAUAUUAUACAAUAUCUCCAAGGGAAAAUCAGAGCUACUAGACACUAGAGGAAGCAAGAAAAAUACAGGUAGGUUAAACAGGUAACCUACGGAUGAAAAGUGGUGGAAAUGCAGGUGACUAUGUCUCGCCUCCUACUAGAACCAACCCGAACUCUGCAGACUGAGCAUUUUAAAACGAAGGGCCCAGGGGAAGACAUUUAUUAACACGUUAGAGUGAGUGGACAAAAAUGAAUUAACAAAUAUUUAUGCAUUCCCAAUUUGAAUUUCAUAGAAAUAUAUUGCAUGCGGCAGCUCAAAAGCUACUCAACUCAACGAUUGGCNNNNNNNNNNNNNNNNNNNNNNNNNNNNNNNNNNNNNNNNNNNNNNNNNNNNNNNNNNNNNNNNNNNNNNNNNNNNNNNNNNNNNNNNNNNNNNNNNNNNNNNNNNNNNNNNNNNNNNNNNNNNNNNNNNNNNNNNNNNNNNNNNNNNNNNNNNNNNNNNNNNNNNNNNNNNNNNNNNNNNNNNNNNNNNNNNNNNNNNNNNNNNNNNNNNNNNNNNNNNNNNNNNNNNNNNNNNNNNNNNNNNNNNNNNNNNNNNNNNNNNNNNNNNNNNNNNNNNNNNNNNNNNNNNNNNNNNNNNNNNNNNNNNNNNNNNNNNNNNNNNNNNNNNNNNNNNNNNNNNNNNNNNNNNNNNNNNNNNNNNNNNNNNNNNNNNNNNNNNNNNNNNNNNNNNNNNNNNNNNNNNNNNNNNNNNNNNNNNNNCCGGCAUCCACCCCUACCACCAGCAAUGGGCCCCGGCGGCAGCCCCUCCUCCUCCCUCGGCCGUCGCCGCUGCCAUUCUUAACUCUGAGAGGGUAAAAAGAUUAACCAGGGCUAUUUUAGUCAUUUUAGUCGAGAUUGAUGUCAUUUUGAAAGUUUAGGUAUGAAACUGAUUAAAAAAAAAGAUGAGGUAUCAAACUGAUUUUAGACCUAAAGUUCAGGGUAGUGAAAUAUAUAUGUGUAUGUAUUUAUACUCGUCAUACUUCUUGUACGAAUUCUAUGAAGGAAUAAGCAAAAUAGAAAUUCAUACAAAGCUACUACGCUUGCGUCUAACGCUCACGUCACACCAUAAUGGAAUUUUUCCUCAUUAUGGCGGAAAAGCACGAGUGUAUAUACGUGUGGACUCCCUAUAUGAAAACCUAUAUGAACCAGAAAAGAAAAUAGUUUUCAUAUAGGGCUACUACGUUUGUGUCUAACACUCACGUCACGCCAUAAUGAUAUUUUACCUCAUUAUGACCGAUCAAGCACGCGUGGCUACCUAGCAUUUAUAUAUACAUACUAUCCUCAUAAACAUUCAAUAAACAUAUCCACCGAAAAUCUCAUUUCCGGGAACUCUCCAAAGGAGGAAAAUUGCCAAAUAUCCAAGAAAUAAAUAAAUCUCAGCAAAAGAAAUAAAUGAUCAACAAAAUAAUUCAUCGCAUGUUUUUCAAUUAAAACAAAGGUCCACUCACAAAUUAGGCCUAAGCCUGAUGACGCUCCGAGGCUUCCUCUGCUCGGGCUUCCUCUCGUCUUGUUCCAAAUAUAUAAUUAAUUCUCACUAAAAAACCAAUAAUUAAACACAAUGGGCAAAAUUAAACGUGAGUCUCCCACACACUCAUCAUUGCCCAAGUUCGCCAUUCUUAACUCAAAAUGACUUAAACCUCACUGAACACACCGGCAGCCUUAAAUCAACCUUCCACAGAUUAAUGGCUUAAAUCCUUCGGCCGGAUUCUACAUUAAUUAACCGCCAAAAUACCAAACUUCGGAAAUUCACAAACCUAUCCAAAACUCAUCCGAAAAUUCCAUAAUUCACUUCAAUAAACUCCCCUUAAUAUUCCAAAUUUAAAAACAUUAAAAUCUCCCAACCGGCGGCGGCGCCGGCACCAGCCCCGCUGGCAACGGCGGCCGGAGGCCGAUUCCAGCGACCUCUAAUUCCUAUGAAAUUUUGACAGAAUAAUCCUCUCAUCAUGCUCUACAACUUUCCUAACUAGCACAAACCCAAAAUCCAAGCCUAGCUAUGCCAAUUGAACAAAAACAUCAAAAACACCCUAGAACUUCCACCUCAAAUUUCUCCUUACCUGAAGCGAACUGGAGUGAGUCCUUUUAGGCAAGGCAGCUGGGUUAGAGACCUACAAAACCAUACCAAGCUUGCCCGGAUUGAUGGCCGGAGGAGGGAGUUCCGGCAAAGGAGAGCUGUCGGCGUUUCCGGCGGUUUUCUCCUCUCCGGCGACGCUAUAGGCUUGGACGCUAGGCCGGGAAGAGAGAGGAGACGGCGGGGCUCCGAACUAGGCUGGAGCGGCGGCCAGUGGCUGGCCGGACAGCGGCAGGCGACGGCUGGAAGUCCGACGAGGAGAGAGAGCUCGGGAGGGAGAACCGGGAGGAAGAGAAGGAAAAGAAAAAGAGAAGAGGGAAAUGGGCCUCUAACACCCGGUCCAACAAGCUAGUAAAUAAGGUAAAAAUUUAAGGGUCGGGAUGUGACAUUAGAUGUGGAAUCCAUGUAUCUAGUUGCAAAUCCACCGACGUUGAUUGCAGUUAUAUCAAAAUCUAUUAUUUUGAAAGCGUUAUGACAUGAUUUCCAAAAUCUCCUGGAGAAUUAUGACCUCGUUUGGUUGAUGGAAAAAAAAUUGUUUCUUUGGUCUUUCUUAUGUACAUAGGAAAGUAAAUUUCCCACUAGUUUCUUUACGAGGUGUUUGAGAACGUCGAGUAAGUAACUAGGAAUUGUAUUUUACUUUCCUUUCCAAUGUUUCUCCCCGGGGUGAUGUGGGACGGGUGCAGUCACUAGCUUGUCAGUGCCCUUAUAGCACCCGCCCAGUUAGGUCGCCACAAUCCACCCCACUUAGGGGCCCGACGUUCGUGUCGGCACACUUACGGCGGGGAAUAGGCUUUUAUACCAUAUGUAAUUUUUAAAAAUUUGAACAUGAUAAAUCUCAAAAAUACCCCAAUACAUGUCCAUUAACUUCAAAUACUAAACUCAAAGGCUGAAAAUAUAAAUUUCAAUAUAUGUUCAACACUACUGAGUCAAAUAUUACAUCUUUUUGUUUACAUCAACUUGAAAUGUCAAGUAAAAUGCAAACGCUUACCAAGAGCUUAAUAUAGACCGACAAAAUAUAAUAAUAAAAGUUCAACAACUAAAACUCUGUCUCUAUGCCUCCACCUCACUUCCGAUGAUCAUCACCUGCAAGUAACAUUAAUUUAUCAAUUAUAUUUUUAGUAUUAAAAUAUAAAAUAUUCAAAAUUCAAAAUUUGUAUAGAUAAUUUGGUAAUAACAUACAUUAAAAUAAUAUUUAAAAGAUACAAUUAAUGUGUA
rnacentral:lncRNA from 1 species